CCUACGGGUGGCAGCAGUGGGGAAUAUUGGACAAUGGGGGGAACCCUGAUCCAGCCAUGCCGCGUGUGUGAAGAAGGCCCUCGGGUUGUAAAGCACUUUCAGUGAGGAAGAACGCCUGGUGGUUAAUACCCAUCAGGAAAGACAUCACUCACAGAAGAAGCACCGGCUAACUCCGUGCCAGCAGCCGCGGUAAUACGGAGGGUGCGAGCGUUAAUCGGAAUUACUGGGCGUAAAGCGCGCGUAGGUGGCUUGAUAAGCCGGUUGUGAAAGCCCCGGGCUCAACCUGGGAACGGCAUCCGGAACUGUCAAGCUAGAGUGCAGGAGAGGAAGGUAGAAUUCCCGGUGUAGCGGUGAAAUGCGUAGAGAUCGGGAGGAAUACCAGUGGCGAAGGCGGCCUUCUGGACUGACACUGCCACUGAGGUGCGAAAGCGUGGGUAGCAAACAGGAUUAGAUACCCUGGUAGUC
rnacentral:rRNA from 1 species